CUCACUAUCUCAGAAUUAAAAAACCAGAUUUAAUUUGGAGUACAAUUAUGAAGAUUACAUAAAUUUGGUAGUGAAGAUAAUGUGCAGUUUGAUGUUAGAUCAAAACCUCAUAAGAGACAAGUCACUUUCUUUCCUAUCAACACUCUAAAUCAUAUUCACUUCACAGGCACCGGAAACAAUAUUGCAUCAUUUUCUUACACACUGUCCCCAGACCCACUGGGAGCUGCCUUUGAUCCUUGAAGGUGCUGCUGAUUUUCUGGUGGGGGAGGGAGUCCAUUGGAAGCCCGCGGUUGAACCUUUCGCGGCUUUGUUCUAAACCCCAGCAGCCUCAGUGCAACUCUACAUACAACAGACCAGACCGAUCAAAAAGCUGAAGAAGAGCACUCAUGAUCAUGUGAAAGGCUUGUGUAUUCUGGACUAUGAGAAUUGAUAUGCGGCCAAAACAGUUCACCACACCCUGCAUCUGUCAUCGAGAAAAUGGCAAAUGGUUAAUGAGCAAAAAGAAAUUUAAUAAAUACAACAUAUCUUGAUUGAAAUUAUAAUGAAUGCAGUUAUCGAUCGAUCUUCCCAUACUCAAUGGCAAGAAUCAACUAGCAAACACUUAUCUGAGCCAUCAAUAGUUGAUAUUGACAUGCCAUUGCCUUCCUAAGCGAUAAUGACAUGAUUGUGAUGUAAAGUUUUAAAUGAGUUGAUGCAGCCAAGAAAAAUGCAGCUAAGAAUCUUUAGCAGCCUUCAUUUUUUUUGUCAGGAACACAGGUUUCAGCAAAGCAAGGUAAGGCUGUGUACAUCAACCCUCCCCAGAGCCCACAAGUGUGCGAUACUUCGUGCACUGGGUCACCCUUUUUAUGAUGUCUUAUAAUAUAUACGGUCAUGCAUUCUGAACCAUGAAUCUUAUUUUGUUGAUUUUUCACAUAGAGACAAGUAAUUAACAAAUAGCAAUAUGCAUUGAAUUUCUAACAUUCAUUUUCAAGUAUUUUCUUC
rnacentral:misc_RNA from 1 species